AUGAACGCUGGCGGCGUGCCUAAUACAUGCAAGUCGAGCGCACAGACGAGGAGCUUGCUCCUUUGACGUUAGCGGCGGACGGGUGAGUAACACGUGGAUAACCUACCUAUAAGACUGGGAUAACUUCGGGAAACCGGAGCUAAUACCGGAUAACAUGUUGAACCGCAUGGUUCAACAGUGAAAGACGGUCUUGCUGUCACUUAUAGAUGGAUCCGCGCCGCAUUAGCUAGUUGGUAAGGUAACGGCUUACCAAGGCAACGAUGCGUAGCCGACCUGAGAGGGUGAUCGGCCACACUGGAACUGAGACACGGUCCAGACUCCUACGGGAGGCAGCAGUAGGGAAUCUUCCGCAAUGGGCGAAAGCCUGACGGAGCAACGCCGCGUGAGUGAAGAAGGUCUUCGGAUCGUAAAACUCUGUUAUUAGGGAAGAACAAAUGUGUAAGUAACUAUGCACGUCUUGACGGUACCUAAUCAGAAAGCCACGACUAACUACGUG
rnacentral:rRNA from 1 species